GAUGAACGCUGGCGGCGUGCCUAAUACAUGCAAGUAGAACGCUGAAGCUUGGUGCUUGCACCGAGCGGAUGAGUUGCGAACGGGUGAGUAACGCGUAGGUAACCUGCCUGGUAGCGGGGGAUAACUAUUGGAAACGAUAGCUAAUACCGCAUGACAACAGUUAUUACAUGAUAACUGUUUAAAAGGGGCAAUUGCUCCACUACCAGAUGGACCUGCGUUGUAUUAGCUAGUUGGUGAGGUAACGGCUCACCAAGGCGACGAUACAUAGCCGACCUGAGAGGGUGAUCGGCCACACUGGGACUGAGACACGGCCCAGACUCCUACGGGAGGCAGCAGUAGGGAAUCUUCGGCAAUGGACGGAAGUCUGACCGAGCAACGCCGCGUGAGUGAAGAAGGUUUUCGGAUCGUAAAGCUCUGUUGUAAGAGAAGAACGAGUGUGAGAGUGGAAAGUUCACACUGUGACGGUAUCUUACCAGAAAGGGACGGCUAACUACGUG
rnacentral:rRNA from 1 species